UGCCAAUAUCAUGAAAGUUAAUAGACUCUUUCAGGGUGUAUUUAAGUUCAGUCGGUUAAGGCUUCCUGUGCUUUACUAGGUGGGAAAUGACCUGUUUCAUGGGCUGUUCUGUGGGUCAGUUCAUCUCAAUAAGUUUUCCUGUUUGUCAGCCAACAAGAAUAAUUUGCACUUCAACAUAAAUUUCAACUGAGGGUAUUUGGUUUAGUGGUGAUCCAUCAACAUACUGACAGAGGCACUUGGUUCAGUGGUGGUACUCAGUGAUCCAUCAACAUACUGACAGAGGUACCUGGUUCAGUGGUGGUAUUCAGUGAUCCAUCAAAAUACUGACAGA